GACGAACGCUGGCGGCGUGCUUAACACAUGCAAGUCGAACGGGCCUUGUCCCCUUUUUUUGGGGGUGGGGUUAGUGGCGAACGGGUGAGUAACACGUGAGUAACCUGCCCCUCACUUCUGGAUAACCGCUUGAAAGGGUGGCUAAUACGGGGUGUUCUGGCCUGCUCGCAUGGGUGGGUUUGGAAAGAUUCGACCGGUUUUGGUUGUUUUGGUGGGGGAUGGGCUCGCGGCCUAUCAGCUUGUUGGUGGGGUGAUGGCCUGCCAAGGCUUUGACGGGUAGCCGGCCUGAGAGGGGGGGCGGUCACACUGGGACUGAGACACGGCCCAGACUCCUACGGGAGGCAGCAGUGGGGAAUAUUGCACAAUGGGCGCAAGCCUGAUGCAGCGACGCCGCGUGAGGGAUGGAGGCCGUCGGGUUGGGAACCUCUUUCGCCAGUGAAGAAGGUCCUGCUCUUUGUGGUGGGGUUGACGGUAGCUGGGUUAAUGAAGCGCCGGCUAACUACGUG
rnacentral:rRNA from 1 species